GCGGUAAUUCCAGCUCCAAAAGCGUAUAUUAAAGUUGUUGCAGUUAAAAAGCUCGUAGUUGAACCUUGGGCUUGGCUGGCCGGUCCAUCUUUUUGAUGCGUACUGGACCCAGCCGAGCCUUUCCUUCUGGGUAGCCAUUUAUGGCGAACCAGGACUUUUACUUUGAAAAAAUUAGAGUGUUCAAAGCAGGCCUUUGCUCGAAUAUAUUAGCAUGGAAUAAUAGAAUAGGACGUUAUGGUUCUAUUUUGUUGGUUUCUAGGACCAUCGUAAUGAUUAAUAGGGACGGUCGGGGGUAUCAGUAUUCAGUUGUCAGAGGUGAAAUUCUUGGAUUUACUGAAGACUAACUACUGCGAAAGCAUUUACCAAGGACGUUUUCAUUAAUCAAGAACGAAAGUUAGGGGAUCGAAGAUGAUC
rnacentral:rRNA from 1 species